CCUUUGUACUUGCCCUGCCCCCAGAGUUAACUGGGUGACAGGUGAGAUUCUUCUUGUGCAACAGAUCCAGACUUGCUUGUUUUCUGCAGAGUCACCGCACAAACUGUAAAUCAGCAGAGAUGGCAGAGCUGAUGGAAAAUGAGGUAGUGAGGGCUUUCAGCACAUAUGCAGUUAUUGUUGUUGUGAAGAUGCUACUGAUGGGGCCAAUGACUGGAUACUACCGCUUCACCAGAGGGUCUUUCUCUAAUGAAGAGGAUGUAGCCAGAAAGUCUGCAGAGGAAAAGAAGAAGCUGCUGAAAACUCACCCAGAUGUAGAACGAGUUCGAAGGUGAGAUAAUCUGGCCCUAAAAUUCGGAUACUACAGAAUCCUGAU